AUUGAACGCUGGCGGCAGGCCUAACACAUGCAAGUCGAACGAGUGGCGGACGGGUGAGUAAUGUCUGGGAAACUGCCCGAUGGAGGGGGAUAACUACUGGAAACGGUAGCUACUACCGCAUACCAUCGGAUGUGCCUAGGUGGGAUUAGCUAGUUGGUGGGGUAAAGGCGUACCAAGGCGACGAUCCGUAACUGGUCUGAGAGGAUGAUCAGGCACACUGGAACUGAGACACGGCCCAGACUCCUACGGGAGGCAGCAGUGGGGAAUAUUGUACAAUGGGCGCAAGCCUGAGGCAGCCAUGCCGCGUGUGUGAAGAAGGUCUUCGGAUUGUAAAGCACUUUAAGUUGGGAGGCGUUACCAACAGAAUAAGCACCGGCUAACUUCGUGCCAGCAGCCGCGGUAAUUC
rnacentral:rRNA from 1 species